rnacentral:tRNA from 1 species
UAGCAAUAGCUCAGUUGGUAGAGCGGCGGACUGUAGAUGAUUGUAUUCCGUUGGUCGGGUGUUCGAUUCACCCUUGCUAGACA